rnacentral:rRNA from 1 species
CCUACGGGGUGCACCAGUGGGGAAUAUUGCACAAUGGGCGCAAGCCUGAUGCAGCCAUGCCGCGUGUAUGAAGAAGGCCUUCGGGUUGUAAAGUACUUUCAGCGAGGAGGAAGGCAUCAAUGUUAAUAACCUUGGUGAUUGACGUUACUCGCAGAAGAAGCACCGGCUAACUCCGUGCCAGCAGCCGCGGUAAUACGGAGGGUGCAAGCGUUAAUCGGAAUUACUGGGCGUAAAGCGCACGCAGGCGGUCUGUCAAGUCGGAUGUGAAAACCCCGGGCUCAACCUGGGAACUGCAUUCGAAACUGGCAGGCUAGAGUCAUGUAGAGGGGGGUAGAAUUCCAGGUGUAGCGGUGAAAUGCGUAGAGAUCUGGAGGAAUACCGGUGUCGAAGGCGGCCCCCUGGACAAAGACUGACGCUCAGGUGCGAAAGCGUGGGGAGCAAACAGGAUUAGAUACCCGUGUAGUC